AAGAAGCGUCGCUAAUGAUAACAACAGUCACACAUUUAAUCAACAAAAAAUAAAAUAACUAGCACUUAAAUUAAAGCAGGUAAGAUCGGUAAGAUCUCGGACUGCGUUUAUAUAAACCUCAGAUAAAACUUUUGUAAGUUUAUCUAGUGCAAUCCUAUCUUUUAUUUAACCGCAUAUGAAAGCAGUCACCAGCUAACGGUUGAAUAUUUAUUACCGUUUUUAUUUUUUUAUAUACAUUUUUCUUCUUGGUUGUUUUUCCUGUUUCGUUUUUUGUUUCAUUAGUGACGUUAGAGGUCUAAAACAUGUCGGAAGACUACGAGUUCAGCGAGGACGCGAGCCUGAUGCGGAUGGAGGAGGACGGGGAGGCCAACUGCGACGACCCGAUGGUGAGUGCGGGGGACGCGGCCGAGGCCGAGGGCUCCCGCAUCGACGCCAGCAAGAACGAGGAGGACGAGGGGAAGAUGUUUGUUGGAGGCCUCAGCUGGGACACGACCAAGAAAGACCUGAAGGAUUACUUUUCAAAGUUCGGGGAGGUUGUAGACUGCACGUUAAAACUCGAUCCCAUGACUGGACGUUCAAGGGGCUUCGGCUUUGUGCUCUUCAAAGAGCCCGAAAGUGUUGACAAGGUUGCCUCCCAGAAGGAACAUAAACUCAACGGGAAGGUUAUUGACCCCAAAAAAGCCAAGGCAAUGAAGAGCAAGGAGCCUGUGAAGAAGAUCUUUGUUGGCGGUCUGUCCCCGGAUACUCCUGAGGAGAAAGUCAGAGAGUAUUUUAGUGCCUUCGGAGAGCUGGAGUCAAUUGAACUUCCCAUGGAGAACAAAACAAACAAAAGGAGAGGUUUCUGCUUCAUUACGUUCAAAGAGGAGGAAUCAGUGAAAAACAUAAUGGAGAAGAAGUACCACAAUAUUGGACUCAGCAAGUGUGAAAUAAAGGUGGCCGUGUCGAAGGAGCAGUACCAACAGCAGCAGUACUGGGGAGGCCGAGGGGGAUACUCGUCCAGGUCUCGGGGAAGAGGUGGCGGCCCCAGUCAGAACUGGAACCAGGGUUACGGCAACUACUGGAAUCAGGGCUAUGGGAAUUAUGGAAAUUACGGUUAUGGCAAUCAAGGAUAUGGAGGAUAUGGCGGCUAUGAUUACACUGGUUACAACAACUACUAUGGAGGAUAUGGUGACUACGACAAUCAAUCUGGUGGAUAUGGCAAGUCACCACGGCGUGGUGGUCACACCAACAGUUACAAGCCGUAUUAAAGGGAGAAACCCUUUUCUUCAAGUAGCGGAGCUUCCUUGCAGGCCAUGAGCUGACUCCCAGAUACUCUCAGGGCCCGCUCAAUGCGGACCGGGUACGAGAAGCAUACGCUCUCGAAUGCUGCCAUUUGGCAUCAGAGUGAUGAAAGUCUGCGGUGCGCUGGAGGAACGUUGGCCAGAGAUGAUCCAGCAAAGAUGACUUAGAUAGUUGUAAAUCAGUACACGAAGAGUGCUUUGACCUACACUACAUUUUCUUCAUAUUUACAAGAGUAUUUCAGUGUUUUCCAUUCACUUCAAAGUUUCAAAGUUGUAGCUUUUUUCUGUUCCUUUUUCUUUCUUUAUUUGUUCUCAAAUGCUUGUGAUUUUUUUUCAGUUAUUCCAGAUUUGAUGUUGGUUGGAACAAAUCACACAUGUACUGUACUGUGGAGACAAAUAUACAAUUUUAACCUCUUAAUCAUUGUCAUCUCUUAUAUAAUACAUCUUAUUACAGAGGUUUACAGACAUGCACACACACUAUCUAUCUAAUCUCUCUCUCUAUACAUAUACGUGUGUGUGUGUGUGUGUGUUGGAGAGAGAGAGAGAGAGAGAUCCGUUGUCUGAAAUAAACACAAGGAGUUGUGCUUCAUCCUGCCACAAUAUAUAUACAUAAUACACAGUGUAUUGGAUAUUACAAAAUGCAACAAAUAAAACAAAA